rnacentral:rRNA from 1 species
UACGUAGGGUGCGAGCGUUAAUCGGAAUUACUGGGCGUAAAGCGUGCGCAGGCGGUGAUGUAAGACCGAUGUGAAAUCCCCGGGCUUAACCUGGGAACUGCAUUUGUGACUGCAUCGCUGGAGUGCGGCAGAGGGGGAUGGAAUUCCGCGUGUAGCAGUGAAAUGCGUAGAUAUGCGGAGGAACACCGAUGGCGGAAGGCAAUCCCCUGGGCCUGCACUGACGCUCAUGCACGAAAGCGUGGGGAGCAAACAGG